UGCGUAGGCGGUUUACUAAGUCAGAUGUGAAAGCCCCGGGCUUAACCUGGGAAUUGCAUUUGAUACUGGUAGGCUAGAGUAUGAUAGAGGGGGGUAGAAUUCCUGGUGUAGCGGUGAAAUGCGUAGAUAUCAGGAGGAAUACCAGUGGCGAAGGCGGCCCCCUGGAUCAAUACUGACGCUGAGGUACGAAAGCGUGGGUAGCGAACA
rnacentral:rRNA from 1 species